rnacentral:rRNA from 1 species
AGUCGAACGGUAGCACAGAAGAGCUUGCUCUUCGGGUGACGAGUGGCGGACGGGUGAGUAAUGUCUGGGGAUCUGCCCGAUAGAGGGGGAUAACCACUGGAAACGGUGGCUAAUACCGCAUAACGUCGCAAGACCAAAGAGGGGGACCUUCGGGCCUCUCACUAUCGGAUGAACCCAGAUGGGAUUAGCUAGUAGGUGGGGUAACGGCUCACCUAGGCGACGAUCCCUAGCUGGUCUGAGAGGAUGACCAGCCACACUGGAACUGAGACACGGUCCAGACUCCUACAGGAGGCAGCAGUGGGGAAUAUUGCACAAUGGGCGCAAGCCUGAUGCAGCCAUGCCGCGUGUAUGAAGAAGGCCUUCGGGUUGUAAAGUACUUUCAGCGGGGAGGAAGGGAGCGAGGUUAAUAACCUCGUUCAUUGACGUUACCCGCAGAAGAAGCACCGGCUAACUCCGUGCCAGCAGCCGCGGUAAUACGGAGGGUGCAAGCGUUAAUCGGAAUUACUGGGCGUAUAGCGCACGCAGGCGGUCUGCUAAGUCAGAUGUGACAUCCCCGGGCUUAACCUGGGAACUG